CCUGAUAGCUCAGUUGGUAGAGAGUCUGCCUGCAAUGCAGGAGACCCUGGUUUGAUUCCAGGGUCAGGA
rnacentral:tRNA from 1 species